rnacentral:snoRNA from 1 species
GGCCGGUGAUGCAUUGAGAAUUGUCCGUACCAUCUGAGAAUUUCUUUGAUGUAUAAAGUUCUGCUAUUUCUGAGGUCU